GACGAACGCUGGCGGCGUGCCUAAUACAUGCAAGUUGAGCGAUGAAGAUUGGUGCUUGCACCAAUUUGAAGAGCAGCGAACGGGUGAGUAACGCGUGGGGAAUCUGCCUUUGAGCGGGGGACAACAUUUGGAAACGAAUGCUAAUACCGCAUAACAACUUUAAACAUAAGUUUUAAGUUUGAAAGAUGCAAUUGCAUCACUCAAAGAUGAUCCCGCGUUGUAUUAGCUAGUUGGUGAGGUAAAGGCUCACCAAGGCGAUGAUACAUAGCCGACCUGAGAGGGUGAUCGGCCACAUUGGGACUGAGACACGGCCCAAACUCCUACGGGAGGCAGCAGUAGGGAAUCUUCGGCAAUGGACGAAAGUCUGACCGAGCAACGCCGCGUGAGGGAAGAAGGUUGUCGGAUCGUAAAACUCUGUUGGUAGAGAAGAACGUUGGUGAGAGUGGAAAGCUCAUCAAGUGACGGUAACUACCCAGAAAGGGACGGCUAACUACGUG
rnacentral:rRNA from 1 species